rnacentral:rRNA from 1 species
UCCGUAGGCGGGCUUAUAAGUCAGUGGUGAAAUCCUAUCGCUUAACGAUAGAACUGCCAUUGAUACUGUAAGUCUUGAGUGUAGUUGAGGUAGCUGGAAUAAGUAGUGUAGCGGUGAAAUGCAUAGAUAUUACUUAGAACACCAAUUGCGAAGGCAGGUUACCAAGUUACAACUGACGCUGAGGGACGAAAGCGUGGGGAGCGAACAGGAUUAGAUACCCCAGUA